rnacentral:rRNA from 1 species
UUGAUCUCAAAUCAGGUAGGGCUACCCGCUGAACUUAAGCAUAUCAAUAAGCGGAGGAAAAGAAACUAACAAGGAUUCCCCUAGUAACUGCGAGUGAAGCGGGAAGAGCUCAAAUUUAAAAUCUGGCGUGCCCCUGGCCGUCCGAGUUGUAGUCUGGAGAAGCGUCUUCCGUGUUGGACCGUGUAUAAGUCUCUUGGAACAGGGCGUCGUAGAGGGUGAGAAUCCCGUCUUUGACACGGACUACCAAUGCUUUGUGAUGCGCUCUCAAAGAGUCGAGUUGUUUGGGAAUGCAGCUCAAAAUGGGUGGUAAAUUCCAUCUAAAGCUAAAUAUAGGC